rnacentral:lncRNA from 1 species
AUAGAAAGGAAGUAAAACAAAAAGAAAAAGAAACAAAAGAAGAACAGAAUAGAAACAGAGAAAGAGACGAAAACAGGGGAAGAAAAGGGGAAAAUUGGAUUUUAAAGCUUCAAGCUUAAUUGGUAAGUUAAAUUUAGCCAUUUUCUCUUAAUUUUGAUGAUUUAGAAGCUUUAAAACAAAGUUUUGUUGAAAUCAAGUGGAGGUUAUGGAAGUUCAUAGGUUUUUGAACAUGAUUCAUUUUGAACAAGUUGUUAAAUUAGGGGUUUAGUUUAUAGAAUUUCUAGUUAGAAUAGAUAAAAAGAUUGAUGUGUAAACUAAGUUAUAAAUUUUACAUAGUUGGGAUUAAGUUAUAAAGAGUCUUAAAUUAGGGUUUAAUUAUGAAUAUUGAAAAGUAGAGUUAAAUAUGAUAAGACAUUAAGUAGAAAAGAAGUAUGAAUUAAGUUAGAAAAAUAAGUAAGCUUAGUUAAAUUAAAUUGGGAAUAAGUAGGAAUUGAAUAAAAUUUAAUUAAUAAUAAUAUUAUUAUUAUUAUUAAUGCUGUAAUUAAUAGUGAAAAUAAUUAUUAUUUUCGUAGCUAACAAGGAAAACGAGACAUCGGCAUUCAAAGGAAAAGAAAAGAUCGUUGAGGAGUAAAUGCGUAUUCCGGGUUUGUAUUACUAUAACUUAAACUAUUUACUAAAUGCUAUAUUGAAAUAUAUGUGAAUUGAAAUAAUAGAUGUUUUGAAUUGUUUGAGUAUUUGAGAUUGUUGUGGAAAUG